rnacentral:sRNA from 1 species
GAUGCCAGGGUACAAAGGUGCAAAAACCGUUCGUGCUUGCACGAUAAGGGUUUUGACCUUGGAACCCGCCAAACAUUCGAAAGCAGCGAUUUACGCAGUAAAUCAGUGGAUUUUGAAUGUUUAUAGAAUUGCGGGAGCUGUCUUGCAGCGGAGCAAUUCGCAGGCAU